rnacentral:rRNA from 1 species
AUCAGGUAGGGAUACCCGCUGAACUUAAGCAUAUCAAUAAGCGGAGGAAAAGAAACCAACAGGGAUUGCCCCAGUAACGGCGAGUGAAGCGGCAAGAGCUCAAAUUUGAAAGCUGGCUCCUUCGGGGUCCGCAUUGUAAUUUGCAGAGGAUGCUUCGGGAGCGGCCCCCAUCUAAGUGCCCUGGAACGGGCUGUCAUAGAGGGUGAGAAUCCCGUAUGGGAUGGGGUGUCCGCGCCCGUGUGAAGCUCCUUCGACGAGUCGAGUUGUUUGGGAAUGCAGCUCUAAAUGGGUGGUAAAUUUCAUCUAAAGCUAAAUAUUGGCCGGAGACCGAUAGCGCACAAGUAGAGUGAUCGAAAGAUGAAAAGCACUUUGAAAAGAGAGUUAAAAAGCACGUGAAAUUGUUGAAAGGGAAGCGUUUGCGACCAGACUCGCCUACGGGGUUCAGCCUACCUUCGGGUAGGUGUACUUCCCCGUGGGCGGGCCAGCGUCGGUUUGGGCGGCCGGUCAAAGGCCCUCGGAAUGUAACGCCUCUCGGGGCGUCUUAUAGCCGAGGGUGCCAUGCGGCCUGCCCGGACCGAGGAACGCGCUUCGGCUCGGACGCUGGCAUAAUGGUCGUAAACGACC